UCUCGGCUCGCAGAGAGGCCCGGGAGCUGUUCUCGCGAGAGUACGGCGGGAGGCUCCUGUUCGCUGGCUGUGGAACGGCGACCACUGGAACCUCCGCGGGCGCUGCAGCUGGAGCCGUAGCCCCGCGGCGCAGCCGGGAAUUGGCCUGGUCUGGAGAGGGUGCAGCGAGAACGUGGCGGGCGCAGCCUUGAGCCCCUGAGCGUGCCCCUGCCCUUAGCGGGGCUCACCCCCGUCGCGGAGGCGCGUCCAGCCGCUGCGGCUGACAGGGGCCGCGCGCGCGGGAGUCGUCUGGGUCGCGGCGUUCACACCUGCGCGGGCGGCCAGCGCAGGGUCCCCGCCCGUCCGGCCGGGCGACGAGGUCGGGGAAGCGGGUGCGGGCGCAGGCGGGGCCCCGCAGGGCCACCUCCUCGCCUCGCGGCCACCGCUGGAAGAUGUCUCAGGAGAGGCCCACGUUCUACCGGCAGGAGCUGAACAAGACAAUCUGGGAGGUGCCCGAGCGUUACCAAAACCUGUCCCCGGUGGGCUCCGGCGCCUAUGGCUCCGUGUGUGCUGCUUUUGACACAAAAACUGGGUUACGUGUUGCAGUGAAGAAGUUAUCCAGACCAUUUCAGUCCAUUAUUCAUGCCAAAAGGACCUACAGAGAACUGCGGUUACUUAAACAUAUGAAACAUGAAAAUGUGAUUGGUCUGUUGGAUGUUUUCACACCUGCAAGGUCUCUGGAGGAAUUCAAUGAUGUGUACCUGGUGACCCAUCUCAUGGGGGCAGAUCUGAACAACAUUGUGAAAUGUCAGAAGCUUACGGAUGACCAUGUUCAGUUCCUUAUCUACCAGAUUCUCCGAGGUCUCAAGUAUAUACAUUCAGCCGACAUAAUUCACAGGGACCUAAAACCUAGUAAUCUAGCUGUGAAUGAAGACUGUGAGCUGAAGAUCUUGGAUUUCGGACUGGCUCGACACACAGAUGAUGAAAUGACAGGCUAUGUAGCCACUCGGUGGUACAGGGCUCCUGAGAUCAUGCUGAACUGGAUGCAUUACAACCAGACAGUUGAUAUUUGGUCAGUGGGAUGCAUAAUGGCCGAGCUGUUGACUGGAAGAACAUUGUUUCCUGGUACAGACCAUAUUGAUCAGUUGAAGCUCAUUUUAAGACUCGUUGGAACCCCAGGGGCUGAGCUUUUGAAGAAAAUCUCCUCAGAGUCUGCAAGAAACUACAUUCAGUCUUUGACCCAGAUGCCAAAGAUGAACUUUGCAAAUGUAUUUAUCGGUGCCAAUCCCUUGGCUGUCGACUUGCUGGAGAAGAUGCUUGUAUUGGACUCAGAUAAGAGAAUUACAGCAGCCCAAGCCCUUGCACAUGCCUACUUUGCCCAGUACCAUGAUCCUGAUGAUGAACCAGUGGCUGAUCCUUACGAUCAGUCUUUCGAAAGCAGGGACCUCCUUAUAGAUGAAUGGAAAAAUGACGACACUCUGGACCUUUGAGAUGCUUCUGUCUGGUCUGAUUUUGUGCACAGCCCCUCACGUCUGCAUAGAGCUUUGAGGCCUGACCUACGAUGAAGUCAUCAGCUUUGUGCCACCACCCCUUGACCAAGAAGAGAUGGAGUCUUGAGUAUCUGGUUUCUGUUCCGUUGAUCCCACUUCACUGUGAGGGGAAGGCCUUUUCAUGGGAACUCUCCAAAUAUCAUUCAAGUGCCUCUUGUUGCAAAGAUUUCCUCCAUGGUGGAAGGGGUGUGUGUGUGUGUUGUGUGUGUCUGACUUUGUGGAGGGUAAGAGAUGAUGAGCAAACUAUCACAGUGACUUUACGUGGAGUGACAGAUGCUCUGUGGCAGCCUCUGCUUGCUCUUGUUCGUGAGAGUCAGCUAGGCGGGCAAGAGCUGCCAUCUUGUAGGGUUUGUUAAAUGCAAAGUGAAAAAUAUUAAACAUCCCAGACCCCAGUCAUGCUUUUGGCAUUUUGACCUCUCCUGUGGCCCCACCUUGACGGUGGAGGUUAGACUUGACCGCAUCCCACAGUGGCAUAGAGAGAAGGCUCACACCUUCUGGCUGCUUCACACCUGGAGCUGUCCCUCAGUGAUGCAUCAGCCAAAAAGGACCAACUGGCUUCUGUGCACUAGUCUGUGAUUAACUUGCUUAGUGUGAUUCUCAGAACUCAACAGCUGUACCUGAAACUAUAAAUAUGUCUGUGCCUUAAAAGGAGAGAAGAAAGUGUAGUUGGUUAGGAGAGUGCAGCGGAUGAAGUUCUGAGCCAGGCAAGUAGUCACGUUGUUGGACCGCCACUUGUGAACCCGAAGUGGCCAGGGAGCCUUCAGAGGCACCACGUGUGAGCGUGCAUAUAUGUGCUUCUCUCUCUUCCUCCCUCACGCCCACACCCCCACCCGGGUGUCUUUGCCAUUUCUCUGCAUACCCACCACCUUCAGUGCAGAGGUUUCUUAAGUACUGGCCCCAGUAGUCAGAAGCUGGUUCUUGCUCUCAGUGUACUUCCUGCGUGCUCUUUAUUCCUAGCAGAGUGAUGAUGUGUUUUGCACGUCUUGCUGUUUGAGCAUGCACGGUUGCUCGUCCUGUUCUCUUCGGGAGGCCCUGGUGCCAGGCAGGUUUGCCAGUGAAGACCUUGUGGGUAGUUCAGAAUCCACGUCACCUCAGCUGAUGCUAUGGGCAAGUGAUGUCAUCCUCUCUUCAGCCCCCAGUGCUAUUUUGUGUUGAACACAAGUGAUACUCCAGGUGCUUUUGAUGUGAAAACUAUGAAGAAAUGGAACAGAUGGAUGUAUAGCAUUUCCAUUCUUGCCAUCUGGUUUUCAACAGACUAUUUUUGGGGAGCCGUCAACCAGGAAAGAUCAGGGCUUGUCCCAGGAAUAUCUCAGACUUUGGAGAACAAGUCAUUCUCUUCACUCCCAAUAACCAAUGCUAAGAAAUGCUGAAAAUCAAAGUGAAAAAUAAAACCUCAUGAGGCCAGAAACUCCUUUUGCUAUCUUUGUCUAAAUAUGGUUAUUUUUUAAAAAGAAAAGUAAUGAGGUGUCUUUUCCACCCUUCUUUGGAAAAGGGUCUUCUUGGCAGCUUAACAUUGACUUCUUGGUCUUGGUUUGUGGAGAAAUAAAUUUUGUUUCAGAAUUUUCUAUAUUGCAGGAAUCCAUUGAGAAUAUGAUUCCUUUUGAUGGGGAGAAAGGGCAAAUUAUUUUAAUAUUUUGUAUUUUCAACUUUAUAAAGAUGAAAUAUCCUCAGGGGUGGAGAAGAGUUGUUUUCAUAAUUUUCUGAAUUUCAGGCAUCUUGUGCUACAUAAGGGCCCAUAUAUUUAAACCUUUUGUGAAAGAAGAAAGCGUAGAGCCACUUCCAGUGUUGGCUGUGUGACAGAAUCUUGUAUUGGGGCCAAGGUGUUUCCAUUUCUCUGUCACAGUGCAGUGAUACCUGCACUCCAGAGGGACAGGGUAGGACCCCCAAGUGAACUGGAGCGAGAAGGAAGGAGGCAGCUGAUGGUGAUCACACCUCACCCGGGAGUCACCCGGAAUUCGCCCCCUCUUUAAAGGAAAAUGAACGCAGAGGCCUCAUCUCCUUUAUAUGCAGUUCAAAUCCUCGUGAUCCACAGCAGGAUGAAUUUUAUCAGCCAUGUUUUGUUGUAAAUGCUAGUGUGAUUUCCUACAGAAAUACUGCUCUGAAUAUUUUUUUCAUAAAGGUCUUUGCACAUGAGACCGUAUACGUGUUAAGAGGCUGAAUGCGCCAGGAGCCUGGACUCAGCUGGAGCCUGCGUGCGGAAGAGCUCCUUGGUUUCUGAGCAUAAUGCUCCCAUCUCCUGAUUUCUCUGAACAGAAAACGAAAGAGAGAAUGAGGGAAAAUUCUAUUUUAUUUGUACUCAUGAACUUGGCUGUAUUCAGUUAUGCCAUAUAGGAUGUCAUACAAUACCACUGGUUAAAAUAAAGCCUAUUUUUCAAAUUUA